rnacentral:lncRNA from 1 species
CUCUCAAGUUUGUAUAAGAUUUUCACUAAAACAAAACAAAACAAAAAUUGUGCCUCAAUUUGUUCAAUUGUAUUUCUUUUUCUUGCUCCCAGCAUUCAGACAUGUCAGAAAAUUGAACUACAAAAUAUCUUUAUUUGGAUAAGUAGCUUUGUAGGAAAAAAUGCUUUAAAAAGCAUGAUUCAGAUCAGUUGUUUUGGGAAAUUGAAAUCCUACCAAUUAAGAAAUUAUUGUUUUCAUUUCUGAGACAUAGCUGAAACUAAAAUGCCAUUUUACAGUGCUAGUAAAACUGGACAGGAGUUGAUAUAAGAAACAAAAUCAGUCAUUUUCCAAAGUAGACCAGAAGCAAACACAAUAAAAGUUGAACUGAGAUAAAGAAUAUUAAAUAUCAUGUUAGAUCCAUAAAUGAAUCAUGACAUUAGUCCAAGACAAAUACAAACUGAAAAACGUGUUUGCUGGAUAUUCUCCUAAUGGUUCCUUUUCUUCUACCUCCACAGAAAAUUGUCCUGGUUUUGUUGCGCAAAUGAUAUUUAUGCAGGAAAUCUUUACGAUGUAUAUUUCCAGGCUCUUUUGGAUUUCAGCUUAGGUCUCCUGGUGUUUCCAGCGGUGAUAUCACCUUUGAGACAUUGGUUCACUAAUAUUUUUUAUCACUUAAAACCACUCGGUACUUCCUGGGAUCUUGCAUCCCAAAACUGAUGAGCCGGCUUAGCAAAAUCACAACUGAUCACCAACCAUUUUUAUCUCACAGGACACACGAAUUAACAAAAGACUUCCCCCGGGGAUUCCACAUUGUCUGAAAGAGAACACAGCCUGUCUGGAACAUCUUCAUGCCAAUCACUGAGUUCAUCUAAAACCCCUAGGGCAGAAGGGAAUGAAUUCUUGAACCUUCUUUGCCUCUGAAGUUGCAGAGGUGGUCUGUUACAGACUGAGGGCCCCUAAACAGCCAGACCAGAACAGUCUUUGAGACCCACAUAAACUUCUUCCAGGUCUGUUCAUUCCCAAUUCAACUGCUAAGUGCAAGACUCUGGAUUAUGUGCAGUGGAAGUAUAUAGAAGCAAAAACUGCAGAUCUUGCCUGAUGGACCAAACAGUCUGAGACCAGAGGACCUACUGUUCCUACGGCUAAUUCAGUCAAAGAAACCAUUUGAUCUGCAUGUUGGACCAAAUGACCAGUGGUUUGACUGAGUUCACAGCCAUCGUGGCUGCUCUGGCGGUGUGUGUCCACCCAGGCUUUGUUUGUGUGCUGGCAGUCUCUGCACCGAGAACACACAGCAUAUGCCAGGUGGCCAUGUGUCUGAGGCAGAGGGAAGGGAGAACAAAGCAGAAAAAGCUUCCAUUUGGACAGAGAUGCUUUAAGCCAUCCGACUGCCAGUAACAUAUUAAAGAGAAAAGAAAAUGCAAUGAUGCCUGAAUAUACUCAACAGUAAACAACUUCAAGCCUGAGAUUCAGAUCACAAAUCUUCCUCUGCUGCUGCUGAUGAGCUCAGCUUGAGCGUGGCUGCAGGAGACAAAGAAACUUGAUCCAAGAGGAAAAUAAGAAGAGAUCUUCACACCAAUUUUAAUCUAUCUCAGAUGUAUGUUUUAAGAAUCUAUUGUAUCAUAACCUUUGUAUUAUGUCAGAAGUCUGUUCUGUUGAAGAACUGGUCGCUCUCUUGCUGGUUCUCCAACAAGCGCUGUUUUCGCACCUGGAUGAGGACAUUUUGCCAUGUUGUGCUGGAUUGCUGUUUGUCUCUACGUGUGGCUCCUCCAGGCAAGUUGUGAUCUCCCAGAGGGCAUGUUUUGUACCCUGUUGACCUUUGAGUUUCCAGCACACAGCAAUUCAUGAGCUAAAUAUGGAUCACUUCAAACACAAUCACGAGCAAAUAUAGCAGACUUACCUGAAUCAAACAUCACUUCCAGUCAUCUCGGGGAUCUGGCCAUCCCAAGUAAGAUGAUAGGAAUUCAGGACCAUCUAAAGUCCUAUCUCCACAGCUCCCAAUAUUGCCAAGAGAAUAAAACACGGUGAAGAAUACUAUGUUGAGUUCUGCUUCAAUUUAUGUAAAAAUUGGGGAGCAAUAAACAUUUGUAUGCAUAUCAGUGAUUCUCUCUUGGGAUAAGGUAUUGGGAAUCUGCAGGGGAAGAAAGAUUUUCCUUUUAUUAAAUUCUCAUUUACACAUUUGAUUUACAUUUUACCAUGUUCAUAUAAAUUUUUUUCAAUUAAAUGUUCCAAUUAACUUUAAAAAAUUUAUCUCUUUCAAGAGUGAAGAUUUUUUAAAAGAAAUUGAUGUGAUUGUUCUUUCUGUGAAUGAGUGAUGGCCUAAUGAGAUUACCCCUUUACCUUUCUACCAAGAGAAGCAAGAGAUAGCAAAAGGAACAUAAAGGAGGAGGCAAUACAAGAUCCUGAUUGUAGAUACCACUAGUUUCCAGCUAGUAACUUCUCCUAAGUAUCAAGUAGACAUGUAGGUAAGUUUCAUGACUCUUGGAUAAAAUGGAAAUUAUACAGUUUUUAAUUCUUGGAAAGGACUUCAGAAUACAUAUGCUUCUUUAAUGCAAUGGAGUUCCUGUGGUUUGAAAAGGAUCAGCACCUACUGCAAGGUCUGAUUCCCAUCCCAAGUAGCUGAUUUAUUUAUCUGGUUGGAUCUGGCUCGAGUUAUCAAGAAAUUAUCAAAACUUAGUAUUUAGAGCUUCCAAGUUCACAGAACUUUGCAACUGGACUCUCUUCUAAGCUUUAUUAGAUUUCUUUACUGGAAAAAGAAGUUUAUAUUUUAAUAUUAUUUUACAUGUUUUCUUUCUUUUUUUUUCUGUCUGGUCUACUGGAAUAAAUGUCUCUCAAGAAAACCCAGCGAAAUUUCAAAACUAGACCGUUUGUCUUGAUGCCUGUAGGAAUUUCACUUAACAAAAAUUGUCCCCCAAAUUGUAUUGAAAUCUUUCCAGAACCAGUAGAAACAGAGAUGCCUCCUUUUGCCUAUGCUUCCAGGAUUCCGGUAUAAAACCGCUGCCAUUUGCACUGUACGCUAAUGACAAGCUGGAUGUUUGCAUGAAAGCCAAUAUGUUCUUUCACUGCUUUUUGAGACAAGUAAUAAUCAGUCUGUCAUCAAUGUCAUGCUGCAAUCAGGCUUUGACAAGGUUUGCAAAUAGCUUGAAAGGAAUUGCUCAUCCCUGAACACUGCAGAUCAAAACCAGACCUGAACAAAAACUAGAAGUCUGCUGCACGUCAGCUGCAUGGUCUCUGGGAACGUGCUGUGCAUAAGCAGAAGCAGCAGCAGAGGGAACAACCGAGCCCUAAUUCCACCCCCCUCCUCUACUUCUUAUUUUUUUUUGAGAUCUUCUCUUGGCCACCAAUCCUGGGAACCAGAUAUUCAAAACCAUGAUGUAGCCACCUGAGAUGCCAGGUCUGAUGGGAAGUAUUAGUUGUAUUAUUCUGGAAAAAUGAUUGGAAAAGCAAGUAACAUGUCCAUCUUAAGGUGGGUUGUUCUCUUAACUCAUGGGCUGGAGCAGGCAGGAUUUCUGAUCAAACUCAGUACUUCCAUCAGUGAGGGGAUGUGUGCACAAGGAAUGGAACCAUCGACUGCUUUCUCUUCUUCUCCUCCCUUCCUCAGCUCUUCCCAUCCCCUAGAGGGGGUGAGAUGUGUGUUAUUUUUUCACUGCUGCUCCUGAUACUUGUUAAUCUGUAGGCUUUCACAAUCAUAAGAAAAGAGUUCACCUUAUAUAACUUUGAGAAUACUUAUAUAAGUUCAACUUAUAAAACUUUGAGAACAAGAUCUUUGGGAGAAAAAAUAUAAAUUUAGAAGUGUCAGCUGGUCACAGGUCUGCUCAGAGCUUCAAAACAUAUUUGCACUUCAUAUUUGUAUAAAUAGCUGGACAGCCAAAUGACAUAUGGACUUGAGCAUUCAUGAAUUAU